UACGUAGGGGGCAAGCGUUGUCCGGAAUCAUUGGGCGUAAAGAGCGUGUAGGCGGUUCGGUAAGUCGGCUGUGAAAGUCCAGGGCUCAACCCUGGGAUGCCGGUCGAUACUGCCGGACUAGAGUUCGGAAGAGGCGAGUGGAAUUCCCGGUGUAGCGGUGGAAUUCGUAGAUAUUGGGAAGAACACCAGUGGCGAAGGCGGCUCACUGGCCCGUAACUGACGCUGAGACGCGAAAGCGUGGGUAGCAAACAGG
rnacentral:rRNA from 1 species